CCGAAACCAAGCGAUUUAACCAUGGCCAGGAUGAAGGUGCCGUAACAGGUACUGGAGGUCCGAACCCACUAGUGUUGCAAAACUAGGGGAUGAGCUGUGGAUAGGGGUGAAAGGCUAAACAAACUUGGAAAUAGCUGGUUCUCUCCGAAAACUAUUUAGGUAGUGCCUCAAGUAUCACCAUCGGGGGUAGAGCACUGUUAUGGCUAGUGGGUCAU
rnacentral:rRNA from 16 species